rnacentral:rRNA from 1 species
GGGGACUUGAGAGCGGCGUACGGGUGCGUAACACGUGUGCAACCUGCCUCUAUCUGGGGGAUAGCCUUCCGAAAGGAAGAUUAAUACCCCAUAAUAUAAUGAUUGGCAUCAAUUAUUAUUGAAAACUCCGGUGGAUAGAGAUGGGCACGCGCAAGAUUAGAUAGUUGGUGGGGUAACGGCCCACCAAGUCGAUGAUCUUUAGGGGUCCUGAGAGGGAGAUCCCCCACACUGGUACUGAGACACGGACCAGACUCCUACGGGAGGCAGCAGUGAGGAAUAUUGGACAAUGGGUGGAAGCCUGAUCCAGCCAUCCCGCGUGAAGGACGACGGCCCUAUGGGUUGUAAACUUCUUUUGUACAGGGAUAAACCUCCCCUCGUGAGGGGAGCUGAAGGUACUGUACGAAUAAGCACCGGCUAACUCCGUGCCAGCAGCCGCGGUAAUACGGAGGGUGCAAGCGUUAUCCGGAUUUAUUGGGUUUAAAGGGUCCGUAGGCGGGCCCGUAAGUCAGUGGUGAAAUCUCGCAGCUUAACUGCGAAACUGCCAUUGAUACUGCGGGUCUUGAGUGAAUUUGAAGUGGCUGGAAUAAGUAGUGUAGCGGUGAAAUGCAUAGAUAUUACUUAGAACACCGAUUGCGAAGGCAGGUCACUAAGAUUCAACUGACGCUGAGGGACGAAAGCGUGGGGAGCGAACAGGAUUAGAUACCCUGGUAGUCCACGCCGUANACGAUGCUAACUCGUUUUCGGGCCGCAAGGCUCGGAGACCAAGCGAAAGUGAUAAGUUAGCCA